rnacentral:misc_RNA from 1 species
GAUGAAGAACGCAGCAAAAUGCGAUACUUGGUGUGAAUUGCAGAAUCCCGUGAACCAUCGAGUUUUUGAACGCAAGUUGCGCCCGAAGCCUUUUGGCCGAGGGCACGUCUGCCUGGGCGUCACGCAUCGCGUCGCCCCCCACAAUUCUCCGUAAAAGGAACAUGUGUUUUGGGGGCGGAUAUUGGUCUCCCGUGCUCAUGGCGUGGUUGGCCGAAAUAGGAGUCCUUUCGAUGGACGCACGAACUAGUGGUGGUCGUAAAAACCCUCGUCUUUUGUUUCGUGCUGUUGCUCGCAAGGUAAACUCUUUAAAAACCCCAAUGUGUCGUCUCUUGACGACGCUUCGACCGCGACCCCAGGUCAGGCGGGACUACGCGCUGAGUUUAAGCAUAUCAAUAAGCGGAGGA